GCUGGUGCUGCAAGCCUGCUGGCACAACUUGUGGCCCAGAGCGAGGAGGGACAACUCAAGCGGCCAGCUUGCAGUGCAUUGACAUCAUCAAGUGGCGAAGCUCACAGCCACGCCAGCCCCCAUAUAGCCUUGAUUGAAGGAGAACCAGACGUCACGAACGUGUCCCUUCCAGCACUACGCAGGAAAGAGAAUGGCCAACAGCGGACUGAUUGCA